UUUGGAGACUAGAGGAAAGGACCUGCAGGAAGCCCGGGCAGCCAGCUGAGCUGCUGCUAAGGCUGCUGCUGCCGCCUUGGCUGUCUCUGUCACCUCUCUCUCUCUCUCCAUCUGCACAUCCCACUGUCCGAAGAGUGACAGCACCCCGAAAACAGGAGGGAGCAGCGAACCCCACUCUUGGACCAAGCAGCUGCAUGCCUCAAUCUCCCUCCGGGUGACCAUUCAUGAGCCCAAGGCUGUGAGAAAUGCUUGCUGUGCAAAGGGGAACUCUCACCAGAUAUUCUGAAGCUAUCUUAGAGAUAUACUUUUCAGACUGAUUCAGCAUUACCAGCUUAUCUGACAAAAGUAUUACUAUAUACAUUAACAACGUCGAAAGUAGCCUACUUUAAGAGAAAAUAUGCAGAAGAAGAAGAUUUACAUCAAGAUUACCAUGGGUAUUUUCCAAAACACCUGAUAUUGCCUGAGGACAGGACUUGCAUUCUCAAACUUUCUCUGGAGAAGCUCAGGUUUCUGGAAGACCCGGAAACCUAUUUAAGGAGGUCUGUGUUAAUUAACAAUUUGCUGAGGAAGAUCCAUCUAGAGACGGAGAAAGAGAGCUAUGAAUACUUUAAAGAAGCUCCCUGUUAUAAGACUGCUUAUUCUGAUACAAGAAAACGGCUGAAGUUUAUGGUACAAGAAUGCUGUUCUCAGUCCCUCUAUUAUGAAGAGCUGCAUUCAUAUCAUAUUGUGCCUUAUGCUUCGGAGAAUGCUAUUUAUGGGAUGGGCUAUACUAGCAGCCACUUGGAGCAAAAUUCUCAGUUGCUUAUUUAUAAGAUGAAUUAAAGUAACUGUUAAGUCCAUUUUGUUUCUAAAUGCCUGAACUGUUUAUAGUGAAGAUGUCAACCUAUGGCACUAGUUACCCAUGCACUUUGGAUCAAAGAUGAGAUGCAUGCUGAUCUGAUUGAAGAGAUCCCUGGUUAUUGCUCAGCAGUCCUUUCUGUUACCAAGUCAAAUGAUGAAAACGUUACCCUUAUUAUAAUGUAGCUAAUAAG